rnacentral:rRNA from 1 species
CCUACGGGAGGCAGCAGUAAGGAAUAUUGGUCAAUGGACGAAAGUCUGAACCAGCCAUGCCGCGUGAAGGAUUAAGGCCCUCUGGGUUGUAAACUUCUUUUAUCUGGGACGAAAAAAGGGUAUUCUUACUCACUUGACGGUACCAGAGGAAUAAGCACCGGCUAACUCCGUGCCAGCAGCCGCGGUAAUACGGAGGGUGCAAGCGUUAUCCGGAUUUACUGGGUUUAAAGGGUGCGUAGGUGGGCUUGUAAGUCAGUGGUGAAAUCUCCGGGCUUAACCCGGAAACUGCCAUUGAUACUAUAGGUCUUGAAUUAUCUGGAGGUAAGCGGAAUAUGUCAUGUAGCGGUGAAAUGCUUAGAUAUGACAUAGAACACCAAUUGCGAAGGCAGCUUACUACGGAUAUAUUGACACUGAGGCACGAAAGCGUGGGGAUCAAACAGGAUUAGAUACCCUGGUAGUCCACGCCCUAAACGAUGGAUACUCGACAUCAGCGAUACACUGUUGGUGUCUGAGCGAAAGCAUUAAGUAUCCCACCNGGAGAGANCGCAGAUAGAACACAANAGAGUAGACGCGUGAGAGUAGCCGACGGACGACGACGAGGGAGGAGG